CCCUUAGUAGUUCAACGGGAGAACACCGACUGACAGCGUCAGCGGAGGAUAUUGGUUCGAAUCCAAUGUAAGGGC
rnacentral:tRNA from 1 species